CAAGUCGAACGAUGAUCCCAGCUUGCUGGGGGAUUAGUGGCGAACGGGUGAGUAACACGUGAGUAACCUGCCCUUAACUCUGGGAUAAGCCUGGGAAACUGGGUCUAAUACCGGAUAUGACUCCUCAUCGCAUGGUGGGGGGUGGAAAGCUUUAUUGUGGUUUUGGAUGGACUCGCGGCCUAUCAGCUUGUUGGUGAGGUAAUGGCUCACCAAGGCGACGACGGGUAGCCGGCCUGAGAGGGUGACCGGCCACACUGGGACUGAGACACGGCCCAGACUCCUACGGGAGGCAGCAGUGGGGAAUAUUGCACAAUGGGCGCAAGCCUGAUGCAGCGACGCCGCGUGAGGGAUGACGGCCUUCGGGUUGUAAACCUCUUUCAGUAGGGAAGAAGCGAAAGUGACGGUACCUGCAGAAGAAGCGCCGGCUAACUACGUGCCAGCAGCCGCGGUAAUACGUAGGGCGCAAGCGUUAUCCGGAAUUAUUGGGCGUAAAGAGCUCGUAGGCGGUUUGUCGCGUCUGCCGUGAAAGUCCGGGGCUCAACUCCGGAUCUGCGGUGGGUACGGGCAGACUAGAGUGAUGUAGGGGAGACUGGAAUUCCUGGUGUAGCGGUGAAAUGCGCAGAUAUCAGGAGGAACACCGAUGGCGAAGGCAGGUCUCUGGGCAUUAACUGACGCUGAGGAGCGAAAGCAUGGGGAGCGAACAGGAUUAGAUACCCUGGUAGUCCAUGCCGUAAACGUUGGGCACUAGGUGUGGGGGACAUUCCACGUUUUCCGCGCCGUAGCUAACGCAUUAAGUGCCCCGCCUGGGGAGUACGGCCGCAAGGCUAAAACUCAAAGGAAUUGACGGGGGCCCGCACAAGCGGCGGAGCAUGCGGAUUAAUUCGAUGCAACGCGAAGAACCUUACCAAGGCUUGACAUGGGCCGGAUCGCCGCAGAAAUGUGGUUUCCCCUUUGGGGCCGGGUUCACA
rnacentral:rRNA from 1 species